rnacentral:lncRNA from 1 species
CUGCUGUCCCCCCCCCACCAAAAGGUGUCCCCUCCCCACGUCCCCGCGUCCCUUCCCAUCCCUGAUGUCCCCCAUGUCCGUCUCAUGUCCGUCUGUCCCCAUGUUCCCAUGUCCCCAUACACAACCCCAUCAAUGAUGUCCCCCACAUCCAUGUCCGUCUGUCCCCAUGUCCUUGUCCCCAUGUCCCCACACACAUCCCCACCUCUGAUGUCCCCAUGUCCAUCUCAUGUCCGUCUGUCCCCAUGUCCUUGUCCCCAUGUCCCCACACACAUCCCCAUCUCUGAUGUCCCCAUGUCCAUCUCAUGUCCGUCUGUCCCCAUGUCCCCAUGUCCCUAUACGUCCCCAUGUCCCCACAUUUCCCUUGUCCCCACACACAUCCCCAUCUCUGAUGUCCCCAUGUCCAUCUCAUGUCCGUCUGUCCCCAUGUCCCCAUGUCCCCAUACACAACCCCAUCUCUGAUGUCCCCCACAUCCAUGUCCAUCUGUCCCCAUGUCCUUGUCCUUAUGUCCCCACACACAUCCCCAUCUCUGAUGUCCCCACAUCCACGUCCAUCUGUCCCCAUGUCCUCGUCCCCACGUCCCCACAGACCCCCCCACCUCUGACACCCCCACCUCCCCACAUCACCGUGUCUAUCCCACAUCCACCUGUCCCCACACCUUUGCCUCGAUGUCCCCACGUGUCCCCAAACCCCCCCCCCUGUCCCCCCCCACAUCCCCACCUACCCAUAUAACUGUCAUCAUAGGUGGCGGCCGCCUGGCGAGUCUGCAGCUGCCCAGCCACAUCCUGGAUGAAGUAUUCGGGGUAAUUGGAGGCAGCAAUUUGCUCCUGCGUCGCCGACAUCACCUGCCCUGAGAUGGGGGGGGGAAGGGGGGACACCUCAGCACCCAUGGGUGGUGGUUGGGGGGGGGGUAUUUGGGGGUCACGAGGGCAUUAAGGGACACACGGAAGGGUAGAGGAGGGGUUUGGAGGG